CUCAUGCAUUGUUAGAAGGAAAUAUGGGUCUCUAAAAUCAUGCCUGGAUGCAGGCAGGUAAACAAGAGGUAUAUGAUGCUGUUAGUCAUUCAGUGAUUUUUGACUCGUUGUGAUUCGAUAGAUCAUAUUACAUAAGGCGCUUCUUUCCUCUACUAUCUCUCCAAGCUUAAGUGGGAAAAAGGUGUCUAAGGGGCAGGUUUGUGGCUCAGUGAAUUGACAGUCAGUCCUGGAGACAGGAGGUCUUGGGUUCAAAUGUAACCUCAGAUACUUCCUAGCUGUGUGAUACUGGGAAAGACACCACUUGCAUUGUUUAGUUUUACUGCCCAUCUACCUCGGAAACAAUAGUAUUGAUUCUAAGACAGAAGGUAAGGGUCUUUAAAAAAAGAAAAGGAAAAAAAGAAAAAGGCAUUUAAACUCACUGCUUUCUCUCCUACAACAAAUUAUGUGACACCUUAGAUACUUUAACCAGUACUUCGUUAAUCAAAAUGGUUAAAUUGGGAAACUAUCUCAUAUCUCUUCUCCCUGUCACAGUAGCCUUUGAAGAAAAAAAAAGGCACCUUGCCCCACUUCUCCCAUUCCUCAGCCCUUCAGGGCAUGUGGCUUCAUACCUUAUCACUUGGCUGAAACUCCCAUCUUCAAGACUAUCAAGAAUAUGUUAAUUGCUAAAACAGUAAUUUAUUCUCAGUCCUCACUCAUCCUUCUGGUUUCUCUCUCCAGCUUUUGACAUUGUUUACUUAUGAAACACAGUUCUUCCAGUGUUCUGGAACACAGUGUUCUUCCAGACAGUUCUCUCCUCCUUCAGCUUUUUCUGACAUUGUGGUGUCCUUCCACCUGACUGAUUACUUCUUUGUUUCUUAUUUUUUUGAUGAUCAAUGCUCUUCUCUUAACCAAAGGACAAGACAAUGGGGAUGCAAAAAUGAAGCCUCUGUUCUCCCAGCUCCCAGAAAAUCCUAUUUUGCUGAAUUAAAAUGCACUCUGGGGUUUGGGGUCAAAGAUGCUGAGCAAGCCCUUUUGCUGUCCAAAGAUCAAGGGAAAGAACUCCAGGGGUGGCAAGAAGGCCUGUGACCUUGCCCAGCAAUACUGACCACUCCCAUCAAUCCCAGCAUGAAGCUGCUACAGCUGCUACAUCAAGUAUGAAGGGAAUAGACUAUGAGCGAUGAAGGCAAGACUUUCCGGUCCUUUGCUCUCUCUACCCCGAUGGGAACAGCAGGAAUUGGAGAAGCACAGACCCAAGGCACAUUAAUGGCAAAUGACUUUUACACUGAAAAUGACAGAAUAAAAAUGGCAAACAGGGAAUUGAUGCCCA
rnacentral:lncRNA from 1 species